GCUGGGACCACCUUCCCAGAUGGGAGGACAUGGAAGCUGGACCUGGAAGGAAGGGGCAAGAGCUGAGGGAAAUCCAAUCUAAGCAGAAGGAACUUCUCGUGGAAAAGCGUAUCUUUACUAGAAGCAUGCUGAGCUUCCAGAUUCAGCAGAGCUCCUCUUAGCUGUCUGCCAGACAGUGUUGGGGGCAGCUGGAAGUGUGUGAAAGGGGUCUCCCAUGGCACACCAAGAAAUAAGACCUUCUCCAUUGGAGAGUGGGGGGCCACGGAGGUUUUGUUCACCUUAGAAACUUCACACUGCAGCAAUGAGGGGGAGAGCAAGGUGGACAGAGCUGCUGUGUCUUGGGGAGCCCAAGUAUAGCUCUCCUGAAUGCCAAGGUCUACAUGCAGGGAGAAGCUUUACCAAUCAAGUGGUCCCUCAAGUCUAAACAAGUGGCACCGUGGCAGAAGUUACUGACAAAGUAGCAGGGGCGGCUCCUGGGCGGGUGCAGGGACAGUGUGCAGCUCUCACAUCAGUGUGGGAGGUCAUCGUACCUGCUUUUCCAGAUCACCCAUCAAGCCAGAAGAAGGCCCCAUGUUGGACUGCAGCUCUGAUAAGUGUGCCAGUCAUUGGGAUUAUGAACCAUAAUGCCCAUCAUCAGUACACAGUGGGGUUGAACCAGCAGCAGCAGCACUUUCCUUUUGUGAUCAAAGUGCCCCGGAUGAACACGGCCAUAUCUGAUAUAAAUUCAGUGUUGAUGUCUCAGAGCAUUUAUGAGAGCAACUUAGAGCCAUGAUGAAGAGUGAAGCAGGCAUGGCCGUUAGCAAUAUAAAGUCAUCUCUCUCUCCUACAUUUCAUACCUAUAUUGGCAAUAUAAAGGAAUCUCUCGCUCCUUCCACCCUUCUUCCACCCUCUUCUAUCCCUCUUCCACCCUUGAAAGGAGACAAAGCCAGUUCAUAUUCCAGAUGGGGCCACAGGUAGCACGUUCCUUCCCAGGUUCCUUCCCUGUCAUCACUCUGCCCACUCUUGUGCUCUUUCUAGCUCUAACUGUCACUCAGUUCCAAUUCUGGCUGCCACACGCCUUAGCCACACCAGGCUGCACCAUCUCAGCAGCAGGCUGUGAUAGGAGGACUGGCAGAGGUGGUUUACCUCAAGAGAUUCCUAUUGGAAGAGGAAGGAAAUAAGGAAGAACUGGCAAUAUAUGUAUAGAAUAGGCCUAUCUGUAGUGAUUUAGGAUAGAAUGGGGGAAUUGAAAGGAUAAGGAGGAGAAUUAACCCACCAGCACCUCCGUCAAGCUCUCAACAUUGAUAGAAGAAAGAAAUCACAACGAGGCAAAGACAAAGCCUUGCUUUUUAAGUGAGCCACAGCAGAAUGGACACCUGUCUAACAGAGUAAGAGCUCCAUGGGGAAAAGUCCAACAGCAUCAAGAUAUCCCUGUGAUCAAAACCAGCAAAUCAGCAGAGAUUAAAGUGCGGUCUCGCUCCAGAGAAUAAGAGCUGUGAAAGGAGCCUCGAGAUGUGGGGGCGGCAGACAGAGCCUGCACCUCGUGGAGCAGCGGAGGCAUGAUGGAUCCUUGCUGUGACUGGUGCCUGGACAUCCCUGCCAACCACCUUGGAGAAUGGCACCUUCUGAGUGUGCCUGAACCACUCUUCUCCUUGGCUACCACUCUGAGUACUAUCCCUAGAGACUACUGGCCACACACAUCCACAGUCUCAAUGUCCACAGAAGACAUUGUUUUGCAGCAUGCAAAAACAAUCUGAAAGAUGAUAAAAAGCAAUUUUCAUAAUUAAUAAAUUUCUACCUGCUGAUUAGGAAGUGUUAGAAAUAAAUAAACAAACAAACAAGUGUAAUUGUGACAUUUUGGCAAGGGUUCCAACUUAAGGACUGAAAUGUGCCCUUGCUCUGACUGUAUCUAAUUCAGUUCAAUUGAACAAACAUCCAUUGAAUAUCUAUUGUUUGUAAAGCUCUGGGCUAGCUGUUGUUCAGCAUAUGAUCUCUGUUCUCAGGUCAAAACAAAUGAGGCAGAAAAAGCUGAAUGCAUGAGAUGAAAACAAAAUUAAAAAUAAAACAGCCUUCUUCCUGGAGAUUCUAAUUCAAUAGGCUGGAUGGGGCCCAGGCAGCUAUAUUUUACCAAGCAUCAGCUCAGCCUGGUUCUGACCAGCAGGCAAGCACUCAGAAGGAGGCCAUCACUGUCUCUAAUUGGUGGUUGUCACAAAAAGCUGCAAAGGGGAGGUAUAGUCACCUUGAGAUAUUUCAACAACAACUGCAUGUUAAGUGCCUUGAAGGCACAGGUCAGACUUGGGCAAGUGGAGGACACAGAAGGGGGAUGUUUCCAGCAAGGAGCAGAGCUGUGGAGGCCGCAAAGUGCACCCUGAACGGCUGGCCCUCUUGAGAGAUGUCAAGAAGAACGUUGUUGGAACAGUUCAUUUCUAAAUGAACUCAUCAGCCUUACUUUUUUCCAUUAGUUCGCAUUUGGCCUCAUUUCUCAAUCCAGAAUGAUGCAAAGGAGCCAUAAACCUGAAUUAAGACAAACAAAAGUGACAUGGAUAAAUUUUCCUUGGACAUCAGAGCACCAGGGUUGAGAGAGGAGAGAGGAGGGCUCAUGUUUCAACUUGAGGCUUCCGCAGCUGCGUCCACAGCUGCGCCGCCAAGUUCAGAGUUGAGCAUUCAUGAGUGUGUGUCUUGUCAUGAACCAGGGGCCUCACUGUCACCACUAGGAGGACACACCAUAGACCUUCCUGGGCAACAAGAAAAGCUGAGCCACACUCUGCAAAUUCCAAAGGCCUGAGAGAAGUCCAGAGUCGGGACUUUUGAGGAAAACCAGUCCAUGCUAAAAAUUUGAAAAAUACAGAAAAUUAAGAAAAAACAGCAAGGCCCCAUAAUUAUGUAACACAGAGACUACCAGAAUAAUUAUGCAGAAAUAUUUCCUGCAUUUUUCCUUCAUGCGUUUUACAAGAUAGUUGGGACCACACAUUUUUGUAUUCUGCUUUUUUAAAUGGUUAACUAUUAUAGUAGAAGAAUUCCUCUUAUGUGAUUACAAAUAUAUCACAAAAUUAUUUCAAUAACCAUAACAUUUUAAC
rnacentral:lncRNA from 1 species